rnacentral:ncRNA from 2 species
AGGAAAAUAGGCGAUGGAGUUCGCCGAAAAAACCGCCUGUCCUUCCGACGGCUGAUGACUCCUGCGACGGA